GGAUGAGGGGGAGAUGGGGGACAGGGGGAGGGGGAACUCUGCAUUACUGGGAAAACAAAAAACAAUAUUCAUCACAUCUAAUCUUUUUCUUGCUUCUAACACACACACACACACACACACACACACACACACACACACACACACACACACACACACACUCACACACACA